rnacentral:rRNA from 1 species
UACGUAGGGUGCGAGCGUUAAUCGGAAUUACUGGGCGUAAAGCGUGCGCAGGCGGUGAUGUAAGACAGGUGUGAAAUCCCCGGGCUUAACCUGGGAACUGCAUUUGUGACUGCAUCGCUGGAGUGCGGCAGAGGGGGAUGGAAUUCCGCGUGUAGCAGUGAAAUGCGUAGAUAUGCGGAGGAACACCGAUGGCGAAGGCAAUCCCCUGGGCCUGCACUGACGCUCAUGCACGAAAGCGUGGGGGAGCAAACAGG